UCUGUCUUAGACUCUCCGGUCUUCUUCUUCUCCUGAAAAUUCUUAUCCCGUCUCGACGAUCAUCCCAAACGUGACCACCCCUUUUUACGGAUCUACCUACUCCUGUUUCUCUGUAAAUUGACUUCCUAAUAUCAAGUUCUUUCGUUUUCUCUGUAUUUGUUUUUCGUUAAAAGACCUCCUCCUCCGCCCCCAUGAAUUGUGAAACACCUUCACCCUGAAAGAAGCACAGCGCCUACGGAAAAUCAGAGACCUAACAUCAUAUUUUAAUCAGCCUGUACAUCUUCAUGGUAAGGGAAAGCAAGCAAGUCUUUGUUCCCUGUCGUAGACCUAGAAUCAAAGAGCAUACUCAAAUUCAAGAGUUGAUAGAAAUAUCAAUAGAGCAAUCUCGAAGCGGAUGGUGUGGACUGGUGGUAGCGAGAAGAUGGACUUCAUGCUAUGUUGCUACUGGCUUGGUGUUAUAGACUGUAUGGAAAUUAGGUCAUGUAUGGAGACUGCAAGUAGAGAUGGAACUGGUAGUCGCUGUUGGAAUGAGACCUGGUGUUGUGUUGCGAAGAGGAGAUUUUGUUCUUGAUGGAAACUGCAAGGUAAAAGUUUGUUGCAAGUGGAAUGCUGCACUGAAAAGAAGCAAAUGCUUCUAUCUGCUGUAGAGCGGCUGAAAGUGUCUUUUGCCACAUCUAGACAAGCAGAAACCUUAGUUUGUUGUCCCUAGAAAUUGUAAAUUCCGCACAUGCGAUGGUCAAUUGUAUUAAUCUUGCAAAGGAUAGGAUUGAUUAAGGGUGCACACGGUACGGUUUGGCUCGGUUCUUGUCGAGACCGAGUACCUGUACCUUACACCCUUCGGUACCAAAAAAAUGGACCGGUCCCGGUACCGAGUACCUCGGUUCCGGUUCCAUUCGGGACCGGCCGGUUCCGGUCGGUACCGGUACCGGUUUCGGUUCCAUUUCAGAGGGGAAAAAAAAAACAGAAAUCUACUGCCCUGUUUUUUA